GACGAACGCUGGCGGCGUGCUUAACACAUGCAAGUCGAACGGAAAGGCCCUGCUUUUGUGGGGUGCUCGAGUGGCGAACGGGUGAGUAACACGUGAGUAACCUGCCCUUGACUUUGGGAUAACUUCAGGAAACUGGGGCUAAUACCGGAUAGGAGCUCCUGCUGCAUGGUGGGGGUUGGAAAGUUUCGGCGGUUGGGGAUGGACUCGCGGCUUAUCAGCUUGUUGGUGGGGUAGUGGCUUACCAAGGCUUGGACAGGUAGCCGGCCUGAGAGGGUGACCGGCCACAUUGGGACUGAGAUACGGCCCAGACUCCUACGGGAGGCGGCAGUGGGGAAUAUUGCACAAUGGGCGGAAGCCUGAUGCAGCAACGCCGCGUGCGGGAUGACGGCCUUCGGGUUGUAAACCGCUUUCGCCUGUGACGAAGCGUGAGUGACGGUAAUGGGUAAAGAAGCACCGGCUAACUACGUG
rnacentral:rRNA from 1 species